UACGAAGGGGGCGAGCGUUGUUCGGAUUUACUGGGCGUAAAGCGCACGUAGGCGGCUUUUUAAGUCAGGGGUGAAAUCCUGGAGCUCAACUCCAGAACUGCCUUUGAUACUGGGAAGCUUGAGUCCGGGAGAGGUGAGUGGAACUCCGAGUGUAGAGGUGAAAUUCGUAGAUAUUCGGAAGAACACCAGUGGCGAAGGCGGCUCACUGGCCCGGUACUGACGCUGAGGUGCGAAAGCGUGGGGAGCAAACAGG
rnacentral:rRNA from 1 species